rnacentral:rRNA from 1 species
UGGUGGAGUGACGGUGAUUUGUCUGGUUAAUUCCGUUAACGAACGUGCUAAAUAGUUUGGUUCCUGCAUAACUUCUUAGAGGGACUAUCAGUGGCCUAACCUGAUGGAAGUUCGAGGCAAAAUAUCAGGUCUGUGAGCCCUUAGAUG